AGCCAUUUUAUCAGUUUAAGGGGUCGAAACGGCAACUGGAUGCAUUAGUCCACGCGUUUUCGUUAUUUUAUUACUUAACGUUGCUUGUUUGAAUCACAAUCGGUAGAUAAUCAAGUACAGUCGAUGACUAGGUGUUUGUACACCGUGAAAAUUGGCGGGAACAGGGUGCGACGCGUCAUUCAUUUCUAACGUGCUAGCUUAACUAAUUGCGCCCCGCUUUAUUUGACAACAGUCGCACGUAAACAAGAGACAUCAGACUUGUUGCCAGCCAGUUUGUGGUUGUGUUUACUUCUGAGGUCUUUCCGCUGUUCUAGUUUCUGUUUCGGCACCAUUUGUGGUCUUAUAGCUGAAUUAUUGAUCUUGAAGCUGUUAGCACAGCUCGCGCUAUUGGUAUAAACAUGACUGAGUGUUAUAUUCGCGUCGCGGAGGAUGAGAACGAGGAGCCGAUGGAGAUCCCGUCCGAGGAGGACGGCACCGUGCUACUCUCCUCCGUCGCCGCGCAGUUUCCCGGAGCCUGCGGCCUUCGAUACCGUAGCCCCGUGUCUCAGUGCAUGAGAGGGGUCCGACUGGUGGAGGGGGUUCUUCAUGCACCCGAAUCAGACUGGGGCAAUCUGGUGUACGUGGUCAACUAUCCAAAAGAUAAUAAGAGGAAAAUGGAUGAAAUGGAUGCUGCAUCAGCUGUGAAGAUCAAGAGAGGUGUGCAGAAGACAUCAGAUUUGAUUGUGCUUGGGUUGCCGUGGAAAACAACAGAGCAAGACCUUAAAGAUUACUUCAGCACUUUUGGAGAAGUGAUCAUGGUGCAGGUGAAAAGAGAUGCAAAAACGGGAAAUUCCAAAGGAUUUGGCUUUGUAAGAUUUACAGACUACGAAACACAAAUGAAAGCCAUUUCCCAGCGGCAUAUGAUUGAUGGAAGAUGGUGCGACUGCAAACUUCCAAACUCAAGGUAUUUCCUGGAACAGGCUGGCCCGGAUGAGCCUAUGAGAAGCAGGAAAGUAUUUGUGGGCCGCUGCACCGAGGACAUGUCAGCUGAUGAGCUUAGACAGUUUUUUAUGCAGUACGGCGAAGUCACGGAUGUGUUCAUUCCCAAACCUUUCCGAGCCUUUGCCUUUGUCACCUUUGCUGAUGAUCAGGUUGCCCAGUCUCUGUGUGGUGAGGACCUGAUCAUUAAAGGAACCAGUGUGCACAUAUCCAACGCUGAGCCUAAGCACAAUAAUAGUAGGCAAAUGAUGGAUCGUGGGCGGUUUGGGGGGUUUGGGGGGCAGGGCUUUGGCAGUAGUCGCAGUCCCAACAGCAAUGUGAAUUUUGGGGCCCUUGGCAUGAAUCCAGCCAUGAUGGCAGCUGCUCAAGCAGCACUUCAGAGUAGCUGGGGCAUGAUGGGAAUGCUGGCCAAUCAGCAGAGUCACACAGCCGCUUCUGGCGCCACCCCUAGCGGACAGAACAGCGCUAGUAGAGAUCAGAACCCGAGUUACAACGCAGGCAGCAAUAGCUACAACACCGGCAGCUCAGCUAGUCUUGGGUGGGGGGCAGGAACCAAUUCAGGCUCGAGCGGUGGGUUCAACUCCGGUUUUGGUUCUAGCAUGGAGACAAAGUCCAGCUGGGGAAUGUAGAGAGAUUUCAAUUGGGUCUCGAAGUAUCCUUAUAUCUAGAUUAUAUGGUAAGUAUUUUGAGAGAAGAAAGUUUAGUCAGAUAUUGUGUCCCUUAAAUGUUUGCCUUUUGAUUUUGUAAAACUGAAUGUUCUUUGAAUACAUAUAAUGAUUGCUCUUUAAGAUUAACUUAGUGGUUGAAUUUGUUAGAAAUGAAAUGAACACUAUAAGUUUUUUUUUUUCCUUAUAGAUAUAAUUUAUUUUGUGUCAGGCAUUCAGUAUGCCCACAUAUCUGAGCAUCUCUUACCAUUUCAGUGCCCUCUCAGCGUACUGUACAUUUAAAUGUCCUUCAUGUGGAAAGCCAUUUGAGUUGUGUUCUCUGCAGUUUUUUUUCCCUCAACGUUUUUUAUGGUCAAGCCUUGAUAAAUCUCUUCUACAGUUCAUCACCUCUUUUCCAAUUUCCCGGGAAGAAGCCCCUCGUUGGCCGCAAUGCUCGAGCGAUCUCAGUAUCCGUUCCCUUCUUCCCAUGUGUAAAUGCUUUGCCAUCAAAGAGCACAGCUUCACUCUGCAUAUACUGUGUUAGACGGGACGUUGGACUCGGCUGGCCCAGGUUUACCUCAGAACCAUGAGUGAAGUCACUAACGGGAGAGCUGAAGACUGAAGUUCACAGUUCAUCUGUGGAGACCGCUGCUGUAUGCCUUUAACAUGAAAAGGGACUGUAUCACUUCACUGUAACCAGAUUUCCCUGGAUCUCCUUUUAUUGAAAUUUCAAUGGACAAUUCCCAAUUGGCCGGAGUGCAUGAGUAAAGACAGUCCGUGUGCAAUCUAAAAGCAAAGUUAAACCAGUGUGUUUAUGGAUCAGUCCCAUUGCAAAUGACUUCAUGUUCAUGCUUGUGUAUUUCCGGCUGUUUUUACCCAAGAAGUCAAUGCAGUUGUUGAUCUUGCUUUUUAAAGCCCUUCUUUUGUUUGAUUGCUUUUACAUGAUCUGUCACACUGUAAAUAUAGUGUAGUUGAAGUUUAAAAGGCCUAUUUUUCAUACAGUGUUCUGCUGUGGGUGAGCCGAUAGGAUUUUGUGAAAGGGGUUUGUGUUAUCAAUGACUUGAAUCACUUGCAGGAUUUUUUUUUUUUAAUCAAAAAACUUAAUAAACAUACACAGAGGAAAUGUA